AGUACCCGACUGGGAGCGCUUCGUGAAGUUCACCAAUAACUUGGGUAAGGAAAAUUUCGUAUACCUCACACACUCUUGCAAAGUGUACCGGUGGAAUUGGGUAAUGGAUAAUUAGGGUUUUCUUUUUGUUGCAUCUGUCAUUCCCGAAUUGGGGAUGGAAUAAUCAGAUAAUGGAGGCAGAACUCCAGAAAAAUUCAAGUGGAAUGACUUGAAGAUGUUCACCAAUAACUUCAGCGAGAGGAGUUUUAUUGACUAGACCCAAUUUUGUAAAGUUUAUCGUGGAAGAACUCUACAGGGUCAAGAGGUGAUGGUGCAAAUUUGGGUUCCUCAAGAUGUCUACACUACUGUCGGACGUGAAAAUGUUGUGAGAUUGUAGGUAUGCUUCUUAACAUAACUUCCCGUCCCGUUGUUUGUAGUUCAAAGAAGCAGUCCUAGAAUGGUAUCACUAAGCAGCAAAAGGUGUGUAAUCAAUCAUAUCUUAUAUGGUAAAAGAGGAUAUAAAAGAACGAAAAAAAUGAAAUGGGCUUUUAGAUUUGCUUGCUAUGUGAUUUAUAAUUUUAAUAUGAGUUGAUGAAAGUAUGAUCUUAGAUAGAAAUGAAUGGUGGAAUGAAUCCAUAGUUAAUUCUCGUUGAUUUACCAUAAACUCAUUUAGUUGACCUCAAACUUUUGAGAUAAAGACUCAAGAUGAUGAUGAUUGUAUGUAGGUAGUGGCAAUGAAAUAAGAUUAUUUCGUGUUUAUGACUUCCUUAUAAAACCAUUCAUGUACGUUGCAUGAAAGUCAUAACAAUGCUUGAUUUGCUUGGUUUAUGCUUCUUCGAGAAUGUUGCUACAAGAAUCCCGACUACCGGUCUAUGUUGGAAGAGAUAAUUUCAUAACUAGAGAUUAUCCAAGAAAAUCUACAAAAUAUGAAAGAAGUGAGUUGUUGUGGCUGGCUGCAACCUUUUCAACUAGGCAAGUUAAAAAGGCUACAUCCAAGAGAGAUCGCAAGAGAGAAGAGAAAAAUCUUACUAGUUCUAGUUCAUCAGAAGCAAGUCCCCCCAAGCAACGGAUUGAUCGAAUCGGUUGAUGAAGGAUCGAUGGAGUCGGUUAAUGAAGGAUCUCCGGAGGAACUCGAUUCGAAGGAAUUGGAGAUGUUCACCACUAACUUACGGUUUGAUGCACUUUUCACAUCACCUCCAGAGGUACCCGACUGGGAACGCUUCGUGAAGUUCACCAAUAACUUGUGUAAGGAAAAUUUCGUAUACCUCACACACUCUUGCAAAGUGUACCAGUGGAAUUGGGUAAUGGAUAAUUAGGGUUUUCUUUUUGUUGCAUCUGUCAUUCCCGAAUUGGGGAUGGAAUAAUCAGAUAAUGGAGGCAGAACUCCAGAAAAAUUCAAGUGGAAUGACUUGAAGAUGUUCACCAAUAACUUCAGCGAGAGGAGUUUUAUUGACUAGACCCAAUUUUGUAAAGUUUAUCGUGGAAGAACUCUACAGGGUCAAGAGGUGACGGUGAAAAUUUGGGUUCCUCAAGAUGUCUACACUACUGUCGGACGUGAAAAUGUUGUGAGAUUGUAGGUAUGCUUCUUAACAUAACUUCCCGUCCCGUUGUUUGUAGUUCAAAGAAGCAGUCCUAGAAUGGUAUCACUAAGCAGCAAAAGGUGUGUAAUCAAUCAUAUCUUAUAUGGUAAAAGAGGAUAUAAAAGAACGAAAAAAAUGAAAUGGGCUUUUAGAUUUGCUUGCUAUGUGAUUUAUAAUUUUAAUA